CAGCCUGGCAGUAUUGAACCUGUUGCUGCAUUAGCCGAGUUGUAUUUUGCUAGAUAGGGGAAGGAGGGUUGUCUGCUGUCUGGUAGGAGGGCUUUGUCUGUGUGCGCCUUUCUCUCUCUCCCUCUCUCGCUCUCCCUGUCUCUCGCACUCUCGCUCGCUCUCGCUCGCUCUCUCUCGCUCGCUCUCCCUUUCCCGUCUCUGUGGUUUGUAAGCAGCACAAGAGAGAAGUGUUGAGAGCUGCUCUUAACCCUUUUGGAGUCCGAAGUCAAAAGGUAAAACCAAAUGCUAAUUUUUAUGUUUCUGAAGGUGUUGAUACCAUAAUUGUUUGGAAAUGCUGUUUCCUUAUCACAUUUGAAUGGAGAUUUCCCACAGGAGAAAAUCAGGGAUAAAGUAAGAAGAAUCAAAACAUUAUUAGACCUCUUUAAGAGCCACCAGCAUAUCUGGGCAUA
rnacentral:lncRNA from 1 species